rnacentral:rRNA from 1 species
UACGGGGGGGGCAAGCGUUGUUCGGAAUUACUGGGCGUAAAGGGCUCGUAGGCGGCCAACUAAGUCAGACGUGAAAUCCCUCGGCUUAACCGGGGAACUGCGUCUGAUACUGGUUGGCUUGAAUCCGGGAGAGGGAUGUGGAAUUCCAGGUGUAGCGGUGAAAUGCGUAGAUAUCUGGAGGAACACCGGUGGCGAAGGCGGCAUCCUGGACCGGUAUUGACGCCGAGGAGCGAAAGCCAGGGGAGCAAACGGG